CUGGCUCAGGAUGAACGCUAGCUACAGGCUUAACACAUGCAAGUCGAGGGGCAGCGAGGGCGUAGCAAUACGCCUGUCGGCGACCGGCGCACGGGUGAGUAACGCGUAUCCAACCUGGCCCAUAGUAGGGAAUAGCCCGGCGAAAGUCGGAUUAAUGCCCUAUGUUCUCCGAAGAGGACAUCUGAUUCGGAGCAAAGAUUCAUCGCUAUGGGAUGGGGAUGCGUCUGAUUAGGUAGUCGGCGGGUAACGGCCCACCGAGCCAUCGAUCAGUAGGGGUUCUGAGAGGAAGGUCCCCACAUUGGAACUGAGACACGGUCCAAACUCCUACGGGAGGCAGCAGUGAGGAAUAUUGGUCAAUGGUCGAGAGACUGAACCAGCCAAGUAGCGUGCAGGAUGACGGCCCUAUGGGUUGUAAACUGCUUUUGGAGGGGAAUAAAGUCGCCUACGCGUAGGUGUUUGUAUGUACCCUCAGAAUAAGGACCGGCUAAUUCCGUGCC
rnacentral:rRNA from 1 species